UACGUAGGGUCCGAGCGUUGUCCGGAAUUACUGGGCGUAAAGAGCUCGUAGGUGGUUUGUCGCGUUGUUCGUGAAAACUCACAGCUUAACUGUGGGCGUGCGGGCGAUACGGGCAGACUUGAGUACUGCAGGGGAGACUGGAAUUCCUGGUGUAGCGGUGGAAUGCGCAGAUAUCAGGAGGAACACCGGUGGCGAAGGCGGGUCUCUGGGCAGUAACUGACGCUGAGGGCGAAAGCGUGGGGAGCGAACAGG
rnacentral:rRNA from 1 species